rnacentral:lncRNA from 1 species
AUGAGCCCAAUCACUAAACACUGUUUAGCAAACUCCAAAUUCUGCAACCAGGCAGUAGAAGGCAUUUCAUACAGUUCAGCAGAGCUGCUGCACAAUGACUGGGUCCUUCUGCUUCUGAGAAUCAAACGGUCCUUUUUGCUAAGGAAGAAAAUAAGCUGGAACGAACACUGUCAUAUCUUCUUCUUGAAAGCUUUCAAUACAACUUGCGGUAGAGAAGACUUCCACUCCCUGGAGCCAGGAUCAUCCCUGUUGAGAUGAAACAGUUUCAACUCUCCAGGCUCUGGGAACCGUGGGGACCAACGGCAGACAGUUUGGACCAGCAAGUGGAAAAGAAUAAGAGAAGAGGAAUUAACUGGACUGUGUUGGAAAGUUAAGGGUAGAAACCAGGAUAACAAUUUUGGUCAGAGAUUUGUCAUCAUUUGGAAAUGUUUUAUCAGGCGAAAUCAGUGGAAAAGCUUAUGUAUCCAUCUGAACAAACUACUUCACCUAAUGAAGUCCCGUCUUUCUGUGGUACAGAUGAGGAAACCAAGGUUAUGAGAGAGAUGGUCAUUGGCCCAAGAUCACACACUUAAUAAGUGAGUUUACUCAUUUCCUAUAUUAAAAUUUUUCUACAAGCCUGCAUUUGUGGAUAAAUCUGUUAUCUGGUUGUUAGAUGGUCCUAAUCUAAAUUAUCAAAGAAAAAUCAGUAUAACAAUCAAGAUGGACCUGGUUUCUACUCACAAAUAGUAUUUCUGUCCUAAACAGAUAACGUAAGUCUGUAUGAUGAGUUCCUUCCCCAAAAAUAUUUUAUUUUUUAAAAGAUUUUUUUUUUUGAUGCAGACCAUUGUUAAAGUCUUUAUUGAAUUUUUUACAAUAUUGCUCCCAUUUUAUGUUUUGGUUUUUUGGCUGUGUGGCAUAUGGGAUCUUAACCCCUGGCCAGGGAUUGAACCUACACCCUCUGCAUCAGAAGGUGAAGUCCCAACCACUGGACCACCAGGGAGGUCUCCCUAACACAUUUUUAAAACGAACUUUUGAAUAGGAAAUUUUGCUCAACCAAGUUUAGUGUUUCAAGUGCAUCAUUUUAACAAUUACCUCUUUAUGUGGACAUCUGCUUUUACCCCCAUUUAACAUCCCCUCCAGCUCUGAAGGUUUGGGAUUCUAAAAAAUCCAGCCUAGCUUGCUUCCUAGGUUGGUUAGGCCAAGAGCUGCACUCUGAGCCUCCUGCUUUCAGGUUAUAUGGCCAGUUGACUGUCUCGCUCAUUGGCAGUAAUUCUAGAUG